UACGGAGGGGGCUAGCGUUGUUCGGAAUUACUGGGCGUAAAGCGCACGUAGGCGGCUUUGUAAGUUAGAGGUGAAAGCCCGGGGCUCAACUCAGAGACGCCACCCGAUACUGCUGUGACUUGAGUCUGGUAGGGGAGUGUGGAAUUCCCAGUGUAGCGGUGAAAUGCGCAGAUAUUGGGAGGAACACCAGUGGCGAAGGCGGCACUCUGGGCCAGUACUGACACUGAGGAGCGAAAGCGUGGGUAGCGAACAGG
rnacentral:rRNA from 1 species